ACUCAAAUGAAUUGACGGGGGCCCGCACAAGCAGCGGAGCGUGCGGUUCAAUUCGAUGCGACACGAAGAACCUUACCAGGGUUUGACAUGCACGUGGUACUGAAGGGAAACCGGAGGGACCCGCAAGGGAGCGUGCACAGGUGAUGCAUGGCUGUCGUCAGCUCGUGCCGUGAGGUGUUGCUUUAAGUAGCGCAACGAGCGCAACCCCUGUCGCUAGUUACAUGUGUCUAGCGAGACUGCCGGAUUAUAUCCGGAGGAAGGCGGGGAUGACGUCAAGUCAGCAUGUCCUUUAUAUCCUGGGCGACACGCACGCUACAAUGGGCGUUACAAUACGUUGCCAAGCCGCGAGGCGGAGCUAAUCGUACAAAAGCGCCCUCAGUUCAGAUUGCAGGCUGCAACCCGCCUGCAUGAAGUCGGAGUUGCUAGUAAACGCGCGUCAGCCAUAGUGCGUUGAAUACGUUCCCGGGCCUUGUACACACCGCCCGU
rnacentral:rRNA from 1 species